rnacentral:rRNA from 1 species
AUGCCUUACACAUGCAAGUCGAACGGCAGCAUGAUCUAGCUUGCUAGAUUGAUGGCGAGUGGCGAACGGGUGAGUAAUACAUCGGAACGUGCCCUGUAGUGGGGGAUAACUAGUCGAAAGAUUAGCUAAUACCGCAUACGACCUGAGGGUGAAAGUGGGGGACCGCAAGGCCUCAUGCUAUAGGAGCGGCCGAUGUCUGAUUAGCUAGUUGGUGAGGUAAAGGCUCACCAAGGCGACGAUCAGUAGCUGGUCUGAGAGGACGAUCAGCCACACUGGGACUGAGACACGGCCCAG